UGGGGAAUCUUGCACAAUGGAGGAAACUCUGAUGCAGCGACGCCGCGUGAACGAUGAAGCCCUUCGGGGUGUAAAGUUCUUUCGUCAGGAACGAUAAUGACGGUACCUGGAGAAGAAGCUGCGGCUAACUACGUGCCAGCAGCCGCGGUAAUACGUAGGCAGCAAGCGUUGUUCGGAAUUAUUGGGCGUAAAGAGUAUGUAGGUGGUGUCGUAAGUUUGGUGUGAAAUCUCCCGGCUUAACCGGGAGGGUGCGCCGAAGACUGCGAUGCUGGAGUAUGGGAGAGGGAAUCGGAAUUCCUGGUGUAGCGGUGAAAUGCGUAGAUAUCAGGAGGAACACCUGUGGUGUAGACGGGUUCCUGGACCAUUACUGACACUGAGAUACGAAAGCGUGGGUAGCAAACAGGAUUGGAUACCCUGGUAGUCCACGCCCUAAACGAUGCACACUUGGUGUGAGCCAUUCAGUUGGUUUGUGCCGGAGCUAACGCGUUAAGUGUGCCGCCUGGGGAGUACGGUCGCAAGGCUG
rnacentral:rRNA from 1 species